GAUUCUGGGAAGUGUUCCUGCCUGAGAGAACACUCAGAUCAGAAGAAGGAAUGACAGCAAAUGCUGGUGCUGUGUUGGACGGGAAGUUCUUCUUCUCAAAGAAAGGACAGUACAGUGAGAAGAGAGAUGGAGGUGUCCUUGGUGCUUCUCUACCAGGGUGUACACCCUGGCAGGGUCUUCUGCUCACAGCUUUUCUUUUAACCUCUUGGUUCCUGCCCACCACUGUCCAAGUCACCAUUGAAUUAGUGCCACCACAAGUGGCUGAAGGAGAAAAUGUCCUUAUUAUUGUUUACAGUCUGCCAGAGGAUCUUACAGCCAUAGCCUGGUUCAAAGGAGUGACAAAUAUGAACCUCGGAAUUGCAUUGUAUGCACUGGCCUCUAACAUCAGUGUGAAAGGGCCCGAACACAGUGGUAGAGAGACAGUGUUCAGCAAUGGAUCCCUGUUGCUUCACAAUGUCACCCAGAAGGACACAGGAUUCUAUACUAUACGGACCUUAAAUAGACAUGGAAAAAUUGUAUCCACAACAUCCAUAUACCUCCACGUGUACACCUUCUUCUGGACUUGUGGACCUCUUUCCCCCUCUGCCCAGCUCACUAUUGAAUCAGUGCCACCCAAAGUUGCCGAAGGGGGAAGUGUUCUUCUAGUUGUUCACAAUCUCCAGGGGAAUCUUCGAUCCCUUUUCUGGUACAAAGGGAUGAUUGUGUCCAGGAACCUUGAGGUUGCAAGACACAUAAUAGACACAAAUUUAAGUGUGCAUGGGCCUUUACACAGUGGUAGAGAGACAAUAUACAGCAAUGGAUCCCUCAUGUUCUACAAUGUGACAUGGAAGGACAGUGGAUUAUACACCCUACGAACUCUAAGUACAGAUAUGAAAACAGAAUUAGCACAUGUACAACUCCAGGUGGACGCUUCCCUUUCUCCGUGCUGUAAUCCCCUUACCUCUUCUCAACUCAUGAUUGAACCAGUGCCACGCUAUGCUGUUGAAGGAGAAAGUGUUCUUUUCAUGGUUCAUAACCUGCCAAAAGAUCUUCAAACCUUUUCCUGGUACAAAUCAGUGUAUGGGGCUGAGAUAUUAAAAAUCACAGAAUACAGCAGAGCCAUGAGUUCCACCACACGUGGAAGUGAACUCAAAAGAAGAGAGCGUGUGUACACCAAUGGAUUCCUCCUGCUCCAGAAUGCCACUGAGAAAGAUGCAGGAAUGUACAUACUAGAAACUUUAAGCAGAGAUUUCAAAAUUGAAAAAGCACAGGUGCAAUUAUAUGUAAACAAGCCUGUGUCACAGCCCUUCAUUCGAGUCACCAACACCACGGUCACAAUACAGAGUUCUGUGGUCCUCACCUGCCUCUCAGCUGACACUGGAAUCUUCAUCCAUUGGAUCUUCAAUAACCAGAGUCUGCAGCUUACAGAGAGGAUGACACUAUCCCCAACAAAGUGCCAACUCAGCAUAGAUCCUGUCAGGAAGGAGGAUGCUGGAGAGUACCAAUGUGAGGUCUCCAACCCAGUCAGUUCACAGACCAGUCUCCCAGUCAGCCUGGCUGUGACAAAUGAGUGACACUUCCUUUCAUCCUAUAAAGGAGUGGGGGCAUUUCUUUAUUGAUAAGGUACAAAAUGGAGUAAAGUUAUGGUGAAAAUUGUCAGUUACCACUCAGGUACAGCCACCAUUGUGAGUCAUGUCUGUAAUGCUGGGAUAAUUGUGUGUAUAAGGACAGACCAGGACCUAAAAUGAGACUCUGUCUCCAAAGGAAAACAGACAUCAAUGUAAUAAACAGAAAUACAAAGGCAUCAAGGAUUUAAGUUGUGGCUCAAAUAUAUAGCCAGUCAUCAGAAUACAUGGGAAUCAAUUUUGAGAGCCCCCAAACUUUGAGUCUGCUGUUUAAAUGUUGCAGUGUUUGAAUAGAAAUAAAUGCAUCCUGUCAUAUAC